rnacentral:piRNA from 1 species
AACAAGGUAGUAUGACUAAAGUAAAGU